CGUUGGAGCAUGUGGUUUAAUUCGACGCAACGCGAAGAACCUUACCUGGGCUCGAACGGCUUUUCAACGACGGUGGAAACAUCGUUAUCCCGCAAGGGAGUAGAGUCGAGGUGCUGCAUGGCUGUCGUCAGCCCGUGUCGUGAGAUGUUGGGUUAAGUCCCGCAACGAGCGCAACCCUUGUCCUGUGUUGCCAUCAUUCAGUUGGGCACUCUCAGGAGACCGCCAGCGAUAAGUUGGAGGAAGGUGGGGAUGACGUCAAGUCAUCAUGGCCUUUAUGUCCAGGGCUACACACGUGCUACAAUGGGCGGUACAAAGCGCUGCAAACCCGCGAGGGGGAGCCAAUCGCACAAAACCGUUCUCAGUUCGGAUCGCAGGCUGCAACUCGCCUGCGUGAAGCUGGAAUCGCUAGUAAUGGUAUAUCAGAAUGAUACCGUGAAUACGUUCCCGGGCCUUGUACACACCGCCCGUCACAUCACGAAAGUGGGUUGCACUAGAAGUCC
rnacentral:rRNA from 1 species